GCAAUAUAAUAAUUAAUUUAUUAAUUUUAGUUUGAAUCUGAUUUUGACACAUUAUUUCCUGAUGCUGCUAAGCGAAUGAUUACACACUGGACUGCUUUCAAGGAGAAAGUUCAGUUUGAAGUAAGGGACAAUGAACACAAAACCAAAGAAUCAGAUGCAGAAGUACUCAAUGCAUUUGCUGGUCUACUCCCGUCCGUGCCACUUAAAGUUCCAAAAGGUAAAACAUAGAAAGCAAGCAAACAGGAUAUGAAAGAGGGAUUUUUGCUUCACAUUAAAAGAAUCCAAGACUUUGAGAAGACAUUGAAAUUUGUUGAAGAAAAAAACUUUUCUAAAGGGAUCACAGUGCAAGGAUUCCCUAUGGUCGUUGGGGCUGACUUGAAAACCAUAGAAAGCAGCUAUUUUGUGCUCGAUAGAACACCGUUUUUGUUGGAAAGUCCAACCCGGGCUGUGGAAGUAGCUUUUAAGGCGUUUCAUGCCUUGUAUAGCCCUUACCCGACUGUAAGCUGUAGAUCUUGGCUAAUUUUACAAGAAACCCUCUUCGGCAUCGUUGGAUAUUCAGACAAGUAUGCAGCAUUGAUGAAACAACCGGAAGUUAUAAGACAUAUGAGAGCACUUCGUGUUUAAUUUACUACAAUUAUUUACAGUUAUCCAUCAAAUUAAUUUGAUCGUAUGAAGUUGAUCUCAGCUUUUUAAUUUUAAUCGGUAAAACAAUUGUAAUGCGAAAUGUAAUGUACAAAAUUGAUAUCGGUUUUCUAAUUUUCAUCGGUAACAAAAACUUGUAAUGCCAAAUUGACUGCAAUUAUUGACAGUUAUUCAUCAAAUUAAUUAAUUAAUUAUUUAAUUAAUUAAUUUGUUAAUUAAUUUGUGUGUAUGAAAUUGAUAUCAGAUUUUUAAAUUAUCUUGUUUUUAUCAGUUACAAAAUUCGUCAAAAUGCCACCUUAUACCGAAUGCGAGUUUUUAUUUUCCUGCAUCACGUCUCCUUUCCAUCAUCUUACAUUGCAACACAAUUCAAGACAAAACGAUACUUUCAGAUGUAAAGAGAGCAAUUGUUAUACAACUUUUAUGAGUAUGACAAAGUUUCGUAAACAUUUGGUAACUUUUCACGUAAUUCCUAUAAAAUCGACACACAUUAAUCGUAAUUUGAGGCAACAAAAGUACAUUGCCACCGAAAAAUUAGAAUCUUUAUCUACAAAAUUGGACUCGCAGGAUGAACCGAACACUGAACAGCCAUAUAAUGCAAAAGAUAAUGGCUGCGUUUCUUUAUACAUUCCGGAUAAUCCCAUUUCACAGCCGGAAUAAACAGAAUGCGUUUGA